GAUAGUACCUUACUACUUGGAUAACCGUGGUAAUUCUAGAGCUAAUACAUGCUGAAAACCCCAACUUCGGGAGGGGUGUAUUUAUUAGAUAAAAAACCAACGCCCUUCGGGGCUUCUUGGUGAUUCAUGAUAACUUUACGGAUCGCAUGGCCUUGCGCCGGCGACGGUUCAUUCAAAUUUCUGCCCUAUCAACUUUCGAUGGUAAGGUAUUGGCUUACCAUGGUUUCAACGGGUAACGGGGAAUUAGGGUUCGAUUCCGGAGAGGGAGCCUGAGAAACGGCUACCACAUCCAAGGAAGGCAGCAGGCGCGCAAAUUACCCAAUCCCGACACGGGGAGGUAGUGACAAUAAAUACUGAUACAGGGCUCUUUUGGGUCUUGUAAUUGGAAUGAGUACAAUUUAAACCUCUUAACGAGGAACAAUUGGAGGGCAAGUCUGGUGCCAGCAGCCGCGGUAAUUCCAGCUCCAAUAGCGUAUAUUAAAGUUGUUGCAGUUAAAAAGCUCGUAGUUGAAACUUGGGUCUGGCUGGCAGGUCCGCCUCACCGCGUGUACUUGUCCGGCCGGGCCUUCCUUCUGGAGAACCUCAUGCCCUUCACUGGGCGUGUUGGGGACCAGGACUUUUACUUUGAAAAAAUUAGAGUGUUCAAAGCAGGCCUUUGCUCGAAUACGUUAGCAUGGAAUAAUAGAAUAGGACGUGCGGUCCUAUUUUGUUGGUUUCUAGGACCGCCGUAAUGAUUAAUAGGGACAGUCGGGGGCAUCAGUAUUCAAUUGUCAGAGGUGAAAUUCUUGGAUUUAUUGAAGACUAACUACUGCGAAAGCAUUUGCCAAGGAUGUUUUCAUUAAUCAGUGAACGAAAGUUAGGGGAUCGAAGACGAUCAGAUACCGUCGUAGUCUUAACCGUAAACUAUGCCGACUAGGGAUCGGGCGAUGUUCUUUUUCUGACUCGCUC
rnacentral:rRNA from 1 species